CCUACGGGUGGCAGCAGUGGGGAAUAUUGCACAAUGGGGGAAACCCUGAUGCAGCAACGCCGCGUGAGUGAAGAAGUAUUUCGGUAUGUAAAGCUCUAUCAGCAGGGAAGAGAAUGACGGUACCUGACUAAGAAGCCCCGGCUAACUACGUGCCAGCAGCCGCGGUAAUACGUAGGGGGCGAGCGUUAACCGGAUUUACUGGGUGUAAAGGGAGCGUAGACGGUUCUGCAAGUCUGAAGUGAAAGCCCGUGGCUUAACCGCGGAACGGCUUUGGAAACUGGGGAGCUGGAGUGCUGGAGAGGCAGGCGGAAUUCCAGGUGUAGCGGUGAAAUGCGUAGAGAUUAGGAGGAAUACCAGUGGCGAAGGCGGCCUGCUGGACAUUGACUGACGCUGAGGCGCGAAAGCGUGGGGAGCAAACAGGAUUAGAUACCCUAGUAGUC
rnacentral:rRNA from 1 species